ACAUACGCGUCUCAUUACGUUGCGAACUUGCGAUUUGUCGACACAUUUAUUUUGACGCUCCGCAUUUCUUCUGCUUUCCAUACCAUCUGUUGCUAACAAUCUUGAUUACCUACGGAUUUUAUCAGAACUUUACACUAUAUAAUAUUCUUAUUACAUCGGAAGACGAGAUCUCCUGGGUUUUUUCCUUGUUUUCGUUUCGUGGAACGAUCUUUUCUUGUAAACAUUCCAACAACGAAGACGAUAAAACUGAUAAGUCGCAAAAGGAUGAAUGCAUAAAUUGACACUAGCGACAAUAGCUGCGCAGAUUCCAGAUCGAAUCAAAUUGUAAGCUUCCACCAUAGCGAAAUGGCUCGAGCUACAUGCUACAAGUAUCGAUGUUAUACGAUGGUCCAGUGACGUUGAGCCAGUUAGAAAUUCUAUUUGCCGGCAUAUUUUUACUGCAACCAAGUAUGAGCAAUCCAGUAACUAAUAAUUAUUAAUACGUUCAUACAGGUUUAAGAGUGCAUGUUUUUCUUAUCGAUUUUUAAUAAUAAAAUUAUUGACAUACAUGAGUCUGGAAUAGUAAAAUUAUUAACAUACAUGAAGCUUUUCGUAGAUCGAGAUAUGUAUCACAAGCUCAUAUUGCUGUGAUAACUGCUGUCCUUGUCCCUGCAGUUCUGCGGGAUUGACAACUGCGUCAAUAAUUGCUGCAUAGGUGCUUUCGAAUAAUAUUCUAGUUCCAGGAUCAAUUGUAUGAGCUUCUUCGAUCGACAUAUUAAAAAAUUCUGCAUCAAAUUUUCCUAUAUUGUUGAUUUUUCCUAUUCGAAGAGGCAUUUUGUAGAUAUCUGACAAAAUUUAUAACGAUUUAUAUGAAAAUAACAUAUAUUUAAUUUAUAAAUAAGAACUACAUUCUAUUAAAGAUAGGCAAGAUAAUUUUAA